AUGCACGCUGGCGGCGUGCCUCAUCCCUGCCAGUCGAACGCAACUUCUUUAUCACCGAGUGCUUGCACUCACCGAUAAAGAGUUGAGUGGCGAACGGGUGAGUAACACGUGGGCAACCUGCCCAAAAGAGGGGGAUAACACUUGGAAACAGGUGCUAAUACCGCAUAACCAUAGUUACCGCAUGGUAACUAUGUAAAAGGUGGCUAUACUACCGCUUUUGGAUGGGCCCGCGGCGCAUUAGCUAGUUGGUAGGGUAAAGGCUUACCAAGGCAAUGAUGCGUAGCCGAAUUGAGAGGUUGAUCGGCCACAUUGGGACUGAGACACGGCCCAAACUCCUACGGGAGGCAGCAGUAGGGAAUCUUCCACAAUGGGCGAAAGCCUGAUGGAGCAACGCCGCGUGGGUGAAGAAGGUCUUCGGAUCGUAAAACCCUGUUGUUAGAGAAGAAAGUGCGUGAGAGUAACUGUUCACGUUUCGACGGUAUCUAACCAGAAAGCCACGGCUAACUACGUG
rnacentral:rRNA from 1 species